AUUGAACGCUGGCGGCAGGCCUAACACAUGCAAGUCGAACGGUAACAGGAAACAGCUUGCUGUUUCGCUGACGAGUGGCGGACGGGUGAGUAAUGUCUGGGAAACUGCCUGAUGUAGGGGGAUAACUACUGGAAACGGUAGCUAAUACCGCAUAACUUCGCAAGACCAAAGAGGGGGACCUGCUGGCCUCUUGCCAUCGUAUGUGCCCAGAUGGGAUUAGCUAGGAGGUGGGGUAACGGCUCACCUAGGCGACGAUCCCUAGAUGGUCUGAGAGGAUGACCAGCCACACUGGAACUGAGACACGGUCCAGACUCCUACGGGAGGCAGCAGUGGGGAAUAUUGCACAAUGGGCGCAAGCCUGAUGCAGCCAUGCCGCGUGUAUGAAGAAGGCCUUCGGGUUGUAAAGUACUUUCAGCGGGGAGGAAGGGAGUAAAGUUAAUACCUUUGCUCAUUGACGUUACCCGCAGAAGAAGCACCGGCUAACUCCGUG
rnacentral:rRNA from 1 species